CGAAAUCCGUUGAUGGGAUGAGUAAGGGGUGUGUGGCAUUGACAGAGAGCCGGAGUCAGCUGAGAACCGGUAUGAGCAGCCCCCUGAAUAUGGUCCUUGGAGGAUUCUUCCGUAAGCUCUCAACCACGAGUGAGCGGGAGACGGCAGCAUCCGUUACCUUGGCAAAACAGGCGCAACGAGUUUGUCGGUUGCACCUGUCCAGAGGCCUGCAUCCAUAAUGCGGGUGAAUCCGGGUGGUACCACGUAAGCAACGCUUUCGUCCCAGAA
rnacentral:ncRNA from 1 species